rnacentral:rRNA from 1 species
AAACCUGCGGAGGGAUCAUUAAAGAGUUCUAUAACUCCCAAACCCAUGUGAACAUACCAUACGUUGCCUCGGCAUGCCCUAGGUAUGCCGGCGGCCCAAGUAACUCUGUUUAUUUUUGAAUUCUGAGGUUAUAAUAAAUACGUUAAAACUUUCAGCAACGGAUCUCUUGGUUCUGGCAUCGAUGAAGAACGCAGCGAAAUGCGAUAAGUAAUGUGAAUUGCAGAAUUUAGUGAAUCAUCGAAUCUUUGAACGCACAUUGCGCCCAUUAGUAUUCUAGUGGGCAUGCCUGUUCGAGCGUCAUUUCAACCCUUAAGCCUCUGUUGCUUAGUGUUGGGAGCCUACGGUAACGUAGCUCCCCAAAUAUAGUGGCGGAGUCGGUUCACACUCUAGACGUAGUAGAUUUCAUCUCGCCUAUGAGUUGGACCGGUCCCUCGCCGUAAAACCCCUAUUUUCUAAAGUUGACCUCGGAUCAGGUAGGAAUACCCGC